rnacentral:rRNA from 1 species
UACGUAGGCAGCAAGCGUUGUUCGGAGUUACUGGGCGUAAAGAGUGCGUAGGUGGUUCUUUAAGUUCGGUGUGAAAUCUCCCGGCUUAACUGGGAGGGUGCGCCGGAAACUGGAGAGCUCGAGUGUGGGAGAGGAAAGCGGAAUUCCUGGUGUAGCGGUGAAAUGCGUAGAUAUCGGGAGGAACACCAGUGGCGAAGGCGGCUCUCUGGACCGAUACUGACGCUAAGGCGCGAAAGCGUGGGGAGCAAACAGG